AAAGUUUUCCCUGUAGUCAUGCCAAUGUUAUACGAGGGAGUAUUCGUUAUAAUUUUAUGGAAGCUAAAGAAAAACCAGUCGGUGACUUAAUUGUAAAUUUGAUCGUUUAUUAUACGAAUAAUUGGCGUGUUUACUUCAUUUUAGAAACUACAAUAGUAUGAUACGAGUCCCCAGUUAAUCAUUUGCAAAUCAGAGAAGGAACAAAAGACAUUUUUUAAUAUUUAUCG
rnacentral:lncRNA from 1 species